GAUAAACGCUGGCGGCGCACAUAAGACAUGCAAGUCGAACGAACUUAAUCCAUUCUUUACGAUUGGAAGCGGUUAGUGGCGGACUGGUGAGUAACGCGUGAGCAACCUGCCUAUUAGAGGGGAAUAACAGUGAGAAAUCAUUGCUAAUACCGCAUAAGCUGAUAGUAUCGCAUGAUAUAGUCAGAAAAGGAGCAAUCCGCUAAUAGAUGGGCUCGCGUCUGAUUAGCUAGUUGGUGGGGUAACGGCCUACCAAGGCGACGAUCAGUAGCCGGACUGAGAGGUUGAACGGCCACAUUGGGACUGAGAUACGGCCCAG
rnacentral:rRNA from 1 species